GCUAGCUUUUGAGGACAUGCUGCAGAGAGUGAACACUUCCGAGGUAACUGUGCCUUGCAUCCGCCUAGUCCUGGUGUCGGUUGUUAGCAGCCUGUGCUCCUUUAAUGUCAAGUUCAUUUGAAUGUGCGGUAGACACUGAAAACAGAGAGAAAUAUUUAGAAAGAAACAGAAGGGAAACAAAGAAAUCCCAAAAUGCUCUUCUAUGCAUCCAGAUUGAAUUCCAUACAUGCUAACUGGUGCCUUCUAUCAAAAACCAUGUAUGCUGCAUAGCGCUGUAAGAAGCAAUACCAGCGCUAUGAAUAAAAACCACAAAUCCCUUGAUCCUUUGGGACGAAAACGGAAGCCGCGUCACGUCACUUCCGGUUAUUCGUUUCUAUAUGGAACGCAGAUGCAGGGAGAUAAAGACGGGAAACUACAAAUCCCAUGAUCCUCGGGGAUGAAAACGGAAGAAGCGUCCCGUCACUUCCGGAUACACGUCUCUGUAUGGAACCAAGCUGCCGAGGGAAAAAAACGGGGAAACUUGGCUGGUGCGGACCACGUGUAACUUCCGGCGGAACCUCCAUAUAUGGACAUUAGUAGUUCCGAGCUGGAACUACAUUUCCCAUAAUUCUUGGCUACGUUUAAGUAUUUUCGAGUUUACACUAGGCAUUUAAAUAAUAAAAGUUGUUUGGAGCUGUU